rnacentral:rRNA from 1 species
AUUGAACGCUGGCGGCAGGCCUAACACAUGCAAGUCGAGCGGUAACACAAGGGAGCUUGCUUCUGAGGUGACGAGCGGCGGACGGGUGAGUAAUGCCUAGGGAUCUGCCCAGUCGAGGGGGAUAACAGUUGGAAACGACUGCUAAUACCGCAUACGCCCUACGGGGGAAAGGAGGGGACCUUCGGGCCUUCCGCGAUUGGAUGAACCUAGGUGGGAUUAGCUAGUUGGUGAGGUAAUGGCUCACCAAGGCGACGAUCCCUAGCUGUUCUGAGAGGAUGAUCAGCCACACUGGGACUGAGACACGGCCCAGACUCCUACGGGAGGCAGCAGUGGGGAAUAUUGCACAAUGGGGGAAACCCUGAUGCAGCCAUGCCGCGUGUGUGAAGAAGGCCUUCGGGUUGUAAAGCACUUUCAGUAGGGAGGAAAGGUGAUGUGUUAAUAGCACAUUGCUGUGACGUUACCUACAGAAGAAGGACCGGCUAACUCCGUGCCAGCAGCCGCGGUAAU